rnacentral:lncRNA from 1 species
UGCCUCUCUCUCCCCUCAAAGGUCAGAGCAGUGCCAAGGACAGAAGAGAGAGUAGAUCCAGCCUUGGCCCUGCUAGGCUGGGCAGCCUGGCAGGUAGAGUCAGCAGGGAUAGAGCUUGCUUUCCUGUUCACGAUCUUCAGCCAAGUUCAGGGAGGUCUGAAUACUGAGGCCUUCAUAGCCACUGCACCCCAGGUAGCUCAGGAGAACCUCCGAGCGCAGGAGUGCAAAGGCUGGCAUUCUUCAGGCUCUGAGGCUGUCCCUUCCGGUGGAGGUGAACUGCUUCUUAUUGAUGUGGACAAGACUGUGGAUGGAGACUGACAGGAUCCUGGCUUGGGGGCCUUCCGGCAGGGCUGGCUGCUGGGCUGGCAGGCUCUGGCGCUCCCCUUCCCCAGAACUGACUUUGUUCCUGGCAGCCAUGGUGGCUGCACUAACCACAUUCUGCCUCCACCUUUGCACUAAGAAAAGCAAAUAAGCAGACCACAGAACUGUUUGCAUUUGCCCCAGAUGCUCCCUGGCUGCGGGAAGAGAUAAAGUUUGCUGACCCCUAGAGAGGAAGUCAUGGCCCAUGGCUGGCAGAUGGAAGCCUCAGGACCUGAAGAUUUCUCAAAGAAAGGGACCUGCUGCUGACAGCAAUUAAUAUAUGUUCACAGCUUGCAGCUGAAGCCUGAUGAUGGCUGUAGGAGAAAGGACAUCACCCAGAUGACAUUUUGCCUCCAAAGCUCUGGGGACCAAUUGUGGAAGAACUGCAGGGAUAUUAUGUUAGAAUGUUCUUGUGUCUGGAUAGGAUGAGAACUGUCUUAUAACAAAGUGCAGCCCCCAUGUCUGAGGGCAUGUUUCCUGUGUUUAGGCACUUCCGAAGCAGGGAGCACCUUCAAGGGGCACUGGCCUUCCCAGAAACAGUGUUUGACCUGUGAUGAUGUCCUGGGGGAGGGGACCUAGGAAAAGACCUUAGCCUUUCCAUAAGGCACGAUUAUUCUCCUCUAUAGAGCCUCAAAAGUCAAGUCAAGUAGCAAGCACACUGUGCUCCAGUCUGUGGCCACAGACACACACAAGGACUGGAGCAAAACCAAACAUAGUGUAUCAUCACCGCUGAACCCCCAGGAGCCCCCAGAUGCUUUUGAACGUGAAAGGAGAAAGAAGCUGUCAGAGAUCAGGUUGAAUGUGGUGGGUUAGGUGUGCGGCAUUGCCUCUGGGUCCCUGCUUUGGUUUAAUUAAACUAAGUCUGGUGGUGAAUUGGUUCCCAAAUGUUCAUUGGUGGAUGGGCGGCAUCAGAAUUGUCUACAUCUUUUAAAAAACACGUACGCAAAACCUAUGCAUGUCUUCCUCUGAGAGUUUGAUUUUCAGCAGGCUUGGGGUGGAUUCCUACUUUUAAGAACUCCCCACGCCCGUCCUAAGUGAUUGUGAUUCCCAGUAAGUGAAUGCUGACAAAUUGAACCUUCCAGCAUGGACAUUUAUUUAUGAAAUAAAUGGACAUUAAUUU